rnacentral:rRNA from 1 species
CGACCCCAGGUCAGGCGAGAGCACCUGCUGAGUUUAAGCAUAUCAAUAAGCGGAGGAAAAGAAACUUACCAGGAUUCCCCUAGUAACAGUGAGCGAACCGGGAACAGCCCAGCUUGAAAAUCAGUCACCCUCGUCAUUCAAAUUGUAGUCUGGAGAAGCGUCCUCAGCGGCGGACCAGGCCCAAGUCCCCUGGAAGGGGGCGCCUGAGAGGGUGAGAGCCCCGUCCUGCUAGGACCCUGUCACACCACGAGGCGCUGUUUACGAGUCAGGUUGUUUGGGAAUGCAGCUCUAUUCGGGUGGUAAAUUCUGGCCAAGGCUAAAUACGGGCAAAAGACCGAUAGCGAACAAGUACCACGAGGGAAAGAUGAAAAGGACUUUGAUAAGAGAGUCAAAGAGUGCUUGAAAUUGUUGGGAGGGAAACGGAUGGCGGCCGGCGAUGCGCCCCAGUCGGAUACAGAACGGCAGAAACCGAUCCAUCGAUCGGCUCAGGGUGUGGACCGAUGUGGAUUGUGUUGGCGUCUCAACCCCGGGCUUUUGAAAUGCUCGUGGAGAUGGCAUCACCUCGAUCGUGGCCUACAGCAUGCACUUCAUGACGUGCCUUAGCGUCUGCGUGCUCUUCGCGUCGGCCUGCCUGCUCCCCAUUCGACCCAUCUUAAAACACGGACCAAGGAGUUUGACAUAUGUGCGAGUCAAUGGGCAAGAAAACACAUAAAGUGGAAGGAAGCUGAUUGGCGGGAUCCUCUGUAGGUGCACCGCCAACCAACCUUGAUCUUCUAAGAAGAGUUCAAGUGAGAGCAUGCCUGUCGGGACCCGAAAGAUGGUGAUCUAUGCCUGAGCGGGGUGAAGCUAGAGGAAACUCUGGUGGAGGCCCACAGCGAUAUUGACGUACAAAUCGUUCGUCUGACUUGGGUAUAGAGGUGAAAGACUAAUUGGACCAUCUAGUAGGUGGUUCCCUCAAAAGUUUCCCUCAUGAUAGCUGGAGCUCGUGCGAGUUCUAUUCGUUAAAUCCAAUGAUUAGAGGCAUCGGAGGCACAACGCCCUCGACCUAUUCUCAAGCUUUAAAUAGGUAGGAUGGCAUGGCUACUUUGUUGAGCCGUGUCACGGAAUCGAGAGCUCCAAGUAGGCCAUUUUGGUAAGCAGAACUAGCGAUGCGGGAUGAACCGGAAGCUGGCUUACCGUGCCCAACAACGCGCUAACCUAGAUCCCACAACGGGUGUUGGUCGAUUAAGACAGCCGGAGGUCAUCAAAGUCAAAAUCCGCUAAGGUUUAUGUAACAACUCACCUACCGAAUCAACUGGCCUCGAAAAUGGAUGGCACUAAAGCGUGCGACCAACACCCGGCCAUUGGGGCAACUGCCAGGCCCCCGUUGAGUAGGAGGACGCAGUGGUCGCUGCAAAACCGGGGGCGCGAGCCCUGGCAGAACGGCCGUCGGUGCAGAUCUUGGUGGUAGUAGCAAAUAUUCAAAUGAGACCUUUGAAGGCUGAAGAGGGGAAAGGUUCCAUGGGAAUGGUAGUUGCACAUGGGUUAGUCGAUCCUUAGAGAUGGGGGAAGCCCGUUGAUAGCGCUUUGGCGCGAGCUUCGAAAGAAAAUCGGGAUAAAAUACCUGAACCGGGACGCGGUGGCUGACGGCAACGUUAAGGAGUCCGGAGACGUCGGCGGGGGCCCCGGAAAGAGUUAUCUUUUCUGUUUAACGACUUCCCUACCCUACAAACAGCUCAGCCGGAGGUAGGGUCCAGCGACCGGAAGAGCGUCGCAUGUCUCGCGAUGUCCGGUGGGCCCCCGGUGGCCCUUGUAAAUCCGGAAGACCAAGUGUCAUCCGCGUCCAGUCAUACUCAUAACUGCAUCAGGUCUCCAAGGUGAACAACCUCUGGUCAAUCGAACAAUAUAGGCAAGGGAAGUCGGUAAAAUGGAUCCGUAACCUCGGGAAAAGGAUUGGCUCUGAGGGCUGGGAACGGGGGUCCUAGUCUUGAACCCGUCGACUGUCGGCGGACUGCUCGUGCUGCUCCGACGGCGAGAACCAGUCACCGCAUGCCAACCGGGGGAUGGACUAGGGAUGGCCCCUUAUAGGGCCUUCCUCGGGCGUCGAACAACCAACUCAGAACUAGUACGGACAAGGGGAAUCCGACUGUUUAGUAAAAACAAAGCAUUGCGAUGGUCGCUAUAGAUGCUCACGCAAUGUGAUUUCUGCCCAGUGCUUUGAAUGUCAAAGUGAAAAAAUUCAACCAAGCGCUGGUAAAUGGCGGGAGUAACUAUGACUCUCUUAAGGUAGCCAAAUGCCUCAUCAUCUAAUUCGUGACGUGCAUGAAUAGAUUAACAAGAUUCCCACUUGAUGGGUUUCGGGAGCCAAAUAGCGCAGUGAAAUUUAACCGAAACCCUUUAGGAUCCAUGUGAAACGAGGUAAACCGGGUGUUCGAAAAUUUUCAUACCUAAUUUUUGUUGAGAUCUCUCACUCAACUGUAGAGUCGAAUCACAAAACUUGAACAGUUGACGUGUUCAAGCUCUCUAUGGUGAUAGCCGAAGGGCUAUCGCCUCUCUCACUAUAUAUUUCCUACCAGAAGCGUGGACGGGAAACCUGGCAUCAUCCGAAGGAGGUGCUAACACUGACCUCAGAAGGAGCGAAGCCGAACGCCCCGAACCCAUGACCUCAGUUAGAACGCCAGAAACGUGAGAGGUGUUGCCGGCUCCCUUGGGGGACCGAACGGAUCACCUUCGGGGAAAAAAGACCGGCUAUCACAAGCAGGAGAGACCCUCCCCGAAGGCGGAACCCCCGAACCAGGGAAGUCCGCGAACCACGGGCAUAAUUCCUGAAGGAGGGCAUUCGUACCAAAGGACGACCUCGUCCAAGGAACCUCGGGAGUACAGCACGAGCAUUUAAGGAGCCUCUGACAUGUCGCCCACAGGCGCUACACGCCGCCUCAAACGGCGGCCUUACGCG